rnacentral:rRNA from 1 species
UACGGGGGGAGCAAGCGUUGUUCGGAUUUACUGGGCGUAAAGGGCGCGUAGGCGGUCAGCACAAGUCAGUUGUGAAAUCUCCGGGCUUAACUCGGAAAGGUCAACUGAUACUGUGCGACUAGAGUGCAGAAGGGGCAACUGGAAUUCUCGGUGUAGCGGUGAAAUGCGUAGAUAUCGUAAGGAAGACCAGUGGCGAAGGCGGGUCUCUGGGCAACAACUGACGCUGAGGAGCGAAAGCGUGGGGAGCGAACAGG